rnacentral:rRNA from 1 species
CACGUAGGGCGCAAGCGUUGUCCGGAAUUAUUGGGCGUAAAGAGCUCGUAGGCGGUCUGUUGCGUCCGCUGUGAAAACUCGGGGCUUAACCCCGAGCCUGCAGUGGAUACGGGCAGACUAGAGGUAGGUAGGGGGAGAAUGGAAUUCCCGGUGUAGCGGUGAAAUGCGCAGAUAUCGGGAGGAACACCGGUGGCGAAGGCGGUUCUCUGGGCCUUACCUGACGCUGAGGAGCGAAAGCGUGGGGAGCGAACAGGG